ACCCGAUAUGCCCCGGGGUGAAAAGUUUUUCGCCUAGAGAUGAGCUCGCGUCCGAUUAGCUAGUAGGUAGUGUAAUGGACUACCUAGGCGAUGAUCGGUAGCUGGUUUGAGAGGACAAUCAGCCACACUGGGACUGAGACACGGCCCAGACUCCUACGGGAGGCAGCAGUGGGGAAUUUUCCGCAAUGGGCGCAAGCCUGACGGAGCAAUACCGCGUGGGGGAGGAAGGCUCUUGGAUUGUAAACCCCUUUUCUCAGGGAAGAAGCUCUGACGGUACCUGAGGAAUCAGCAUCGGCUAACUCCGUGCCAGCAGCCGCGGUAAUACGGAGGAUGCAAGCGUUAUCCGGAAUUAUUGGGCGUAAAGCGUCCGCAGGCGGCUAGAUAAGUCUGCUUUCAAAGAGUGGGGCUCAACCCCAUAGGGGGAGUGGAAACUGUUUAGCUAGAGUAUGGUAGGGGCAGAGGGAAUUCCCAGUGUAGCGGUGAAAUGCGUAGAUAUUGGGAAGAACACCAGUGGCGAAGGCGCUCUGCUGGACCGAGACUGACGCUGAGGGACGAAAGCUAGGGGAGCGAAAGGGAUUAGAUACCCCUGUAGUCCUAGCUGUAAACGAUGGACACUAGGUGUUGCGCGUAUCGACCCGUGCAGUGCCGUAGCUAACGCGUUAAGUGUCCCGCCUGGGGAGUACGCACGCAAGUGUGAAACUCAAAGGAAUUGACGGGGGCCCGCACAAGCGGUGGAGUAUGUGGUUUAAUUCGAUGCAACGCGAAGAACCUUACCAGGGUUUGACAUCCCUCGAAUCUCGGCGAAAGUUGAGAGUGCCUUCGGGAGCGAGGAGACAGGUGGUGCAUGGCUGUCGUCAGCUCGUGUCGUGAGAUGUUGGGUUAAGUCCCGCAACGAGCGCAACCCACGUUUCCAGUUGCCAGCAUUAAGUUGGGGACUCUGGAGAGACUGCCGGUGACAAACCGGAGGAAGGUGUGGACGACGUCAAGUCAUCAUGCCCCUUACAUCCUGGGCUACACACGUACUACAAUGGUUAGGACAAAGGGCAGAGAAGCCGCGAGGUGGAGCAAAACUCAUAAACCUAGCCUCAGUUCAGAUUGCAGGCUGCAACUCGCCUGCA
rnacentral:rRNA from 1 species